AUACAUUGCGCCCUAAGUCCAGUCUCGCCCAGGUGUGGCAGGAGCUUUUACCUGCUCUUCGGCAGUAGCCGGCUGCCACUCAACCCCAUGCCUGACUGAGCUGUGGUAGAAGGAUUGAGGCCAGCACAGAGGAGGAUCAGCAGGAAAUGGUUGUCCUCAUCUAAUCCGUCAGUACCAGACAGUGAACAUCUCUCCCCCAGGAUGCUGAGGGAGGGUCCUGGAGGGAAGGAUGUGGAACUACAGCCUCUGCUCUCAAGAAGCUCAGAUCUGGGCAGGGAACAUCACAUACCAGGGCUGUCUGUCGGGGGGGUGGAGGGCUGGGGGAGGGAUAGCAUUAGGGGAAAUACCUAAUGUAAAUGACAAGUUGAUGGGUGCAGCAAACCAACAUGGCACAUGUAUACCUAUGUAACAAAUCUGCAUGUUGUGCACGUGUACCCUAGAACUUAAAGUAUAAUUAAAAAAAAAAAAAGCUUCAGAUCCCUCCUGGAGCCUCCUAUGAAACCA
rnacentral:lncRNA from 1 species